CAGUGAAAUUCCUUUGUGACAAGGACAUCCUUUGUUAUCCGGGAAUCAUUUUGUUCAGUGACACAGAACCUCACCGCUAAUAUGAUGGAGAAGGAGUUGACCCCACCCAAAGCCAGGGCAGACCCAAGAAGAAGAAGACCUCAGAACAGCUGACAAAAACACAGAGCUGUCCUUCAGAACAAAGCAGAGGCGACACCAGCGUCAAUGUCUCCUGCUCAAAGAACCCUCUGGGUCCCGCUUGGAAGCCUGCAGCUCGGCACAGUGGAGCUCAGAGUCAAGUGCUGGCUUUAAAGGUGUACGCCACCCGCUCCUGGCUGACAAUUGAUUUUCAUAUGCGGGGAAGGAGCCGAUCGAUCGCCUCAGUUCCGAGUUUCCAGCUGGAGGAGGAAAAGGUGGAGAUACAGGAGCAGGAGAACAAAGCAGAGGGACCAAGUGCCUGCCUGCCAGGGAGAGCCGACCGACCAUGCUUUCCUAAACUUCUAAUGCUUCAAAGGCGGCUCACCACCGCAUCCCCUUCGCGUCUAGACCCCUGUGAGGUAGCGCGGGGUUUGUAAUGUUUAUGAUAGCCUUACUUCCUUCUAUGACUGCAAAUCACUUCUCUGAUCACCAUGCAGCCAGGGCUACACAGUGAGAUUGAGAGAGAGAGAGAGAG